AAAGGGAGCUAUAGAGGCAGAUGCUUCUCAAAAGUUGAUUUUAUAAAAAACCUUAACUAGAUUCAACAACUAAAUGAGUCGUGUAUGCAGUAGUGGAACUGCUUAUUGCCUCAAUGCUGAUAUUCGUUACCUGUUAAAACAUGCUUUCCUUCAUAAAUAUCAAUUGCCGCAAUAUAGCCAACAAUUUGAAUCCAUCUUAUGGGAAAUCCCAUCCAGAAGCCAAUGUAUCCUAGAUAUUUGUAAGAAUCACUUUGUGAUAUUUAUUUUACAGAAAGAGCACUUACGCUGUAAAUGUGGAUGAAAUGAAAUUUUAUG